GUACGUACUGGCAUUGUUGGUUUCUCCCUUCUGACGAACCAUGAUGUCAUUUAUUUGGUGUUGUGGGGAAUCAGGACUGUUACUUUGAAAAAAUUAGAGUGUUUAAAGCAGGCUCACGCUUGAAUACAUUAGCAUGGAAUAAUGAAAUAGGACGUUUGAUUCUAUUUUGUUGGUUUCUAGGAUCGACGUAAUGAUUAAUAGGGAUAGUUGGGGGCAUUAGUAUUCAAUUGUCAGAGGUGAAAUUCUUGGAUUUAUUGAAGACUAACUACUGCGAAAGCAUUUGCCAAGGAUGUUUUCAUUAAUCAAGAACGAAAGUUAGGGGAUCGAAGACGAUCAGAUACCGUCGUAGUCUUAACCAUAAACUAUGCCGACUAGGGAUCGGAUGAUGUUAAUUUUUUAAUGACUCAUUCGGCGCCUUACG
rnacentral:rRNA from 1 species